rnacentral:rRNA from 1 species
GACGAACGCUGGCGGCGUGCUUAACACAUGCAAGUCGAACGGAAAGGCCCUGCUCUUGCUGGGUUCACGUUUGCCGAACACGUGUGUAACACGUGUGUAACCCGUCCCUGUCUUUGGGAUAACUUCUGGAAACUGCGGCUCUUACAGGAUAUGAUCUCUUGCUGCGUGUUGGGGGUUGGUAAGUGUCGGCGGUUGGGGAUGGACUCGCGGGUUAUGAGCUUGUUUGUGGGGUAGUGGCUGACCAAGGUUUUGACGGCUAGCCGGCCUAGGAGGGUGACCGGCGACAUUGGGACUAAGAUACGGACCAGAAUCCUACGGGAGGCAGCAGUGGGGAAUAUUGCAGAGUGGGCGGAAGCGUGAUGCAGCAACGUCGCGUGCGGGAUGACGGCCUUCGGGUUGUAAACAGCUUUGGCCGGUGACGAAGCGGGAGUGACGGUAAUGGGUAAAGAAGCAACGGCUAACUACGUG